rnacentral:rRNA from 1 species
CUCGUAGGCGGCUCGGUAAGUCAGGUGUGAAAUCCUCAGGCUCAACCUGGGGUCGCCACCUGAUACUGCUGUGGCUAGAGCCCGGUAGGGGCCCACGGAAUUCCUGGUGUAGCGGUGAAAUGCGCAGAUAUCAGGAGGAACACCGGUGGCGAAGGCGGUGGGCUGGGCCGGAGCUGACGCUGAGGAGCGAAAGCGUGGGAAGCGAACAGGAUUAGAUACCCUGGUAGUCCACGCCGUAAACGUUGGGCACUAGGUGUGGGGCCUUGUCAACGGGCCCUGUGCCGUAGCUAACGCAUUAAGUGCCCCGCCUGGGGAGUACGGCCGCAAGGCUAAA